CGUCUAAAGCCCAGAGAAGCCUGGAGCUCAGAGAUGGGAGGAGCAAAAGAGAGAGGCUGCAGAGAGGAUGGAGAAAGAGAGCGAGUCUGCAGCCACAGUGAAAGGGAGAAGAGGUACAAGGAAAGAGAAGCAAAUCUCAGACAGAAGCAGAGGCAAAGCUGAAGGCAGGUUUCGGACAACGCUGCAAGGCCACUGGGAUUGAGAGGAAACCUUUGGUGAUUGCUUUCUCAUUAAGAGUGGGAGGGUGAGGGAAACUAAUGACUACUGCUUUAAGUAUUCGGAAAGCCGAACAGCUGGAGUACCAAAGAUCUGCAGUUUCCUUGGUGACAUCACGGCACACAGAAGGCCGGCCACGUACUGGGCCAAUAAAUGGAAAUUCCUGAAGAAAUCAAAGGCAGAACCUGCAUCCUGGAUACAAUGAUCCAACGAGGAAGUAGCAGGAUCAUUUCUGAUUGAGGCCAAGUUGGAUGUUUAAUGCAACCCUGAUUUCCAGUUCAAAGAUAACGCAAACUGCGACAAAUAACCGAUUGUUUUCUGUUUUGAGGUGGAGACAAAAGCGUGUGGGAGGACGCUCCCAAUGCACAUAGGAAAUCAAGUUUCCAUUGAUUGAUUCUUAAUGUGAAUUUAUUGCGCAUAAUGUGGACUUGAGGGAAAAUCUGACAAAUUGUGGAGGAAAACGCUCAGAGAAAAAGGCCAACAAUCGACAGGUUCACUCCUCUGUGAACAAGCAGUUGAGUUAAACAAUGACAAAAAGGGCCUACGAUAAUAUGAAUAAUCUGUAAAACACAAUGGAACUGCGUUUGGCAGAAAGGACACUUGGUUCUUUCCCAAUGUCAUACUGUGUAUGUUUAACAGUGUACUAUUUAGUCAUACUUUACUUGAGCUAAAGCUGUACGACAAAAGUAGCUCAGGUACAGUAGUAUUAAUGGUAACCAGCAAGAGUUAGACAUCACAGAAUAGCUUGCUUGCAAUAGUUGCUGAACUCCUAAUAUCAUUCUAAUAUCAUAGACUAGUAAACCUCAUUGAGUCAAGAAAAGCCAAUAGUAACCUGCUGAUGUCUGAUUCACAUUCAUAAAACCUUGAUCACAUGUACAUUGCCAUUUAUUAAAAAAUAUGAUCAACAAGGAGCAAAAAUAUAAGAAAAAAGCAGUGUCAUUCAGCAAUGCAAUGAUUUACUUUACCUUGCUUUACUUUUAUAGACAAAUAGAAAGCUACGGAGCUUUCUCAACUAUAAACAAAUGUUUGUCAGUACAAAAAAUGCUUUUUACAUUUUAUAUGCACUUAAUCAGUCUGUACCUUAGAGGAACAAAGCUGCAAAAUUAACACAGCUACUCAAAGUGUAACGUAAAGGCUAAAUAUGGCUGUCAGUCUUCUCAGAGAUGCUGGGAUUUGUUUUCUGUUAGUGUACUGAUACCUUGAGUAGAGUGUGAUACGAGGCCUUGUUUAACCUGUUUAAAUAUCAGAACCGUAUUAUUGUCACUACCAGUUUAAUUUCAGGGAGAUUAACACUCUUAGUUAUCACCUAAUACAAAGAGUCCAUUCAUGUGCUAUCAAAGCACUGAAUCACUUUCUUAUUUCCUUUCAUCCCUUCUGUUUGAUUCCUACUCUCAAAAAACAAAACCUUGGUUGAGUGCCAAAACGUAAAUUAGGAUCUUCAUUAGAACCAUCAAAUCUAAAUUACUAUUCAAUUAACAGGCCAGUCAACCUCAACUAAUCAACCAAUUAGGCUGUGCGUGUUCACAGAAAAGCUAACAAAAGCUCAUGGGUCCCCUGGGAAAGCAGUAAAACACUGCAGAAGAGUGGCAGUGCGAAUGAGAAGCCACUGGUUCAGCAGAGAAGAAAGAGCACAAAAGUGGAAGCGGGUGACUGUGAGAUGGAGAUCACAUCACUAUUCACCCCUGACACGUUUUAAGAAAUUAGACCUCACAAAAAAAUGAUUAAAGAAAGAAAGGUCAAGAUGCAAAACAAAAAUCAUUUUUAAGAGCUUUAGUCAGUUGGCACUGUAAAGGAGUUUACUGUUUUCAGGUUAAUGAUGUGAUCAAUAUGUCUAUGCUAAUGAUUUUGAUUGAAAGGUACAGUGUUUCUUCCGCUUGAAACCUUACAUUGAGCCUAAACAUCAUCUGGCAGUGUUUAAAUACUGGCCAAAAAAACUAAGCUAAACCUUUCCAAAUAAACUUAACUUAAUUGACAGUAAUCACAUUAAAGCAGGUAAACCAAAAAACACGUUUACGAUGGAACAUCGUUUAUAUGUAUUAUUUAUGUGUAGUAUUUUUCUGCAAUUUGAUGAUGUUUAGUAACUAAGCAUUCUGUGGUGCACACAAAUUUAAAAUGAACCAACCCUUAAAAUUCAACUAGUUGGAGGAGCUGGCACAUGGCACUGGUUAUGGCAAUCAUUUUGGUGAGUGUGGUGGCAGGAUGAAAUGCUUUGCGACGACACCUUCAGUGGAGCUUCUGGGAUGUCGACGUUGAACAUACCUUUGGCAACAGGAGGUCUGAUGGGCAGCAAAGGCUGAUCAAAUGUCUUCGGGGUACACAACAGAAUGCAACCUAAAAGAGAAGCAAACACACACACAUUACACAGAUGUAUGGAGAGAAAACAGCAAAAACAAUACUGGAUUUACGAAAGUUGAUAAAAAUGAUAAAACAUAAAUAUACACAUUUGUUAUUUCAUUUUUACGGAAGAAAAAUGAUCUUGAUUCAUGUUCCUUAAAUGUGUCCUUUCUCAUUGUGACCAAG
ensembl:lncRNA